rnacentral:lncRNA from 1 species
UCACUAAUUAAACCUUUUAUAAAUACUGAGUCCAAAUCUGAUGGACAAUCGGGCAUUAGAGUCCAUCGAUAUGAAAUCCUGAUCAAAAAGUCCCAAACCAUUGGGACUCUUGACCCCGGUAUCCAAAAUGUGUGGAGCUCAUGAUUAGAGAAUCCUAAUUCUCGAUCAUAGAGUUUCAGACACGUAGGACUCAAAGUCCAUGAGCAUUAGGACUCUUCAUCAGCCAUC